rnacentral:rRNA from 1 species
AUUGAACGCUGGCGGCAUGCCUAACACAUGCAAGUCGAACGGGGGCAGCAAUGCCCUAGUGGCGGACGGGUGAGGAAUACGUAGGAACCGGCCCACGAGUGGGGGACAACCUGGGGAAACCCAGGCUAAUACCGCAUACGCUCGCGAGAGGAAAGCGGGGGGACCUUCGGGCCUCGCGCUGGUGGACGGGCCUACGUCCGAUUAGCUAGUUGGUGGGGUAAAAGCCUACCAAGGCGACGAUCGGUAGCUGGUCUGAGAGGAUGAUCAGCCACACUGGGACUGAGACACGGCCCAGACUCCUACGGGAGGCAGCAGUGGGGAAUAUUGGACAAUGGGCGCAAGCCUGAUCCAGCAAUGCCGCGUGGGUGAAGAAGGCCUGCGGGUUGUAAAGCCCUUUAAGCGGGGAGGAAAGCCGGGGUGUGAAUAGCGCCUCGGGGUGACGUUACCCGCAGAAUAAGCACCGGCUAACUCCGUGCCAGCAGCCGCGGUAAU